AGCAAAAGCAAGGAAACAUUUCCCUCCUGCUUCAAAUCUGUCUGCAAGAGUACCCUGGAAUAAUGAAAUAAUGCAAGAUCGUUGAGUGAAGUAGGUGGGAAAUUGAUUAAUUAACACAACAGGAUCUUUCUUCUUUCUCUGGUGAUCACUCGUAGCCAAGUAAGAUUGUAUUCCAUUUACUGUACACUUGCGGAACAUGAACCACUUAUAAACACCAUCUCCAACUCCCCGAAAUAUUCCAUUAAUGAUGUCUCUGAUCAGCAAUGAACAGGAUCUAUGAUAUGUGUGGGCUUAGUCAUCAACUUAACACUGCAUUGUAGGGGGGUGGAUUAGAUGACUCUUGGGAACCCUUCCAACUCUAAGAUUCUGUGAUUCUAUGAUCUAGCCCCAGAAGCCACACGUGAACAGAUUUGAAGUAAGCUUCACCCCACAUGGCUCCAGACUUUUGCGUAGGGUUUGAAGUUGACCCUAAAGGAUGAAUGUUAGAAUGAUGUUGGAUAGAAAUUAAGUGGUUUCCAGCUGUAAUGCUUUAAGGGAAUAUGAAAAAUGGGUUGUUAAUAGGUAAAAAUCUAACAUUACUAUUUUAAGACCAAAGAUUAGGAUAAACAAAGAGGGUAAGGAUUUGCUGAACCAACAAACUGAACUGGAAUACAAAAAAGGGAGGUAUGAGGAGGUCCGGGAAACAAGCUAAGGAAAAAUAAGUAAUGGAAAAAUUGAGUGGUUUUUAAUCAUUUUUAUUUUGUAUUUUGUAUUUUUUCUUUUUUUUCUUUUUUUUCUUUUUUUUCAUUUUUAUAUUGUAACAUUUGGAAAAUCUCAAUAAAUAUCUUAUAAAAAUAAAUAAAUGCAGUUGACCCUAAAGGGGACACAUACCCUAACUCUCAGUUCCCACAGCUCUGAAAGGCAAGUUUUUGUAAUUUACUCUCAUUUUAAAGGCACUUUCCAAUUGCUCACCCAAUUCCUACCUGGCUGAUGUCCUCUGACUCAACUUGCCUCCUUUUGUAGGACAAGAAGAAGAAAAAAAACCCCUGCCAAUCUUCUUGAGAGACAAAAAAACUAACUAACUAACUAACUAACAGCUCUUCAGUUCUCUAACAAGGUGCCAGAUCUCUGCAGCACUUACUGCCCAACAUCAAAAGAUCCUUUAAGGUGUUUGCCAAGAUGAAUGUGUGAAUGGCCACACCCAGGUCAGCCUGCACAUGUCCUCACAAGCUGUGGAGUGUGGGCCAUUGGGGCUACCUGAAUACAGCCUUCCCAAUGAGAAUGCUAAGCAUUUUUUAAGCCCCCUCUCCCAUUCUCAAAGCCACACACUAUUUUCUGUCCCAUACACAUUCACACUUCCUUGAACUUACAGAGGUGUGUACAGACAUUUCCCUUCUUCCCUGGCAAAUCAGCUUUCUGUGACACUCGGCACAUCCUAAUCCAAAGGUAUAGCUAUGUCAAAUACACCCCUCACAUGUGUGUCUGGGCAGAAAAACCAUGCAACUGACAUUUCAAUAUCAGUAGGACUGCCUGCUUUUCAGCCUUACUGGGAAGGCUCCCACUUCGGUCUGUUGUUAUGAGAGCUAUCCAGCACAGUAAUCAGGACUGUUUCAAGAACAUCUCAAAGUUCUAGCUAAAGCUCUGGUCCUCUUCCCAUGGUUAUACUUCAAUAUUCUGCAGCUUCAACAUCACAACAUGCAACAAUUGGUUGUGGUGGAGACUCGUCCAGUUGGGUGCAUGGGAAACUUCCAUAUCUGCCUGCAGACAGCCCACACAUUACUGUAUUCUGACUUACAACAAAUCCAGAGUUGGCCCUGGCUGUCGGUAGUUUCAUUGUUGCCCUUGUAGAACUCACCAGGGAGGAGAAUGGGAACAAAUGGAGAAUUGGUUUAUUCUGCCUAUUCCACCUACCUUUUCGAUACCUGCCAUCUGUUCUACCAAUCCCACCAGUCACCAUUGUUCCACUAAAUUUAUGAACAGCUUUGGAGAGAAGUCACCAUAUUUCAUUCUUUCUGGCUCUUGUUUUAGGGAUAGAGAGUUUCCAUCUGUCUUCAUCUUCUCAUCGUCAUGAGGACCUGUUACCUUCUCUUUCUUGCCCUUGGCUUUUUGUUUCAUCCAGGUAAGUCAUCAGUUAAGUUCUGGACUUAACCAGGUAAAGUAAAGGUAAAGGACCCUUGACAGUUAAGUCCAGUCACGAACGAUUCUGGGGUUGUGGUGCUCAUCUCACUUUACUGGCUGAGGAAACGGGUUUUUGCUUGCAUGCAGUUUUUCUGGAUCAUGUGGCCAGCAUGACGAACUUCUGGCGAACCAGAGCAGUGCACGGAAACGCCAUUUACCUUCUCGCUGGAGUGGAACCUAUUUAUCUACUUGCACUUUGGCAUGCUUUCGAACUGCUAGGUUGGCAGGAGCUGGGACCGAGCAACGGGGGCUCACCCCUUCACUGGGAUUUGAACUGCCGACCUUCCGUUCGGCAAGCCCGAGACUCAGUGGUUUAUACCACAGUGCCAUUCGCAUCCCCUUGGACUUAACCAAGGGGCUUCCAAAUGUCAUUAGCCAAACACAUGCAGAAGCUCCCUUCCAAACUUCUUAAAGACUCUGAAUGGAGGAGGUGUGGCUUGUAUGGGGGACGGCUGGCAUCAGGGGUGGCAUGCACAGGCACAUCCUCCUAUCCAGUUCAAGCCCUGGUUGAUGGUGAUGAUGAUGGUGGUGGUGGUGGUGGUGAUUACUAUUCUUGUAGGGGCCUACAUACAGUCAGAUAUCUUGAUGCUUUACACUUGAAUGUGUGUGCAGUAAUUGAAAUACUUUAUUAUCACUUGUACAACUUGUAUACAGUGAGAUUACACAAAAGAUGGCUUCCUUGUGGGAAUUAAGGCUAGAAAAGUGUUGACUAAAUGAAGAGAUGAAACUGCUUUGAUCUAAGGAUGUCCAGCGUUCCAUCUGGCCUGGUAUUUCCAAUCUUGCGCCACAUGAUCUUCCCAGCCCUGGGGAAGUCUCUUUCCCAGCACUGCAAUGUGAAAUGACAAUGUUGCCAAUUGUAAUGAAACAUAGGAAUGUUGGGCUCUGAUUAUUUGUUAUUGUUUCCCCUUGUAAACUUUUUUUUUCUUUUGGUGGGGAAAUAGGAUCGUCUGCUAAUGUGUACCAGCAAAGCCAAUGCCGCCAGAUAAACGGUGUGUGUGCAUUUAUCAAGUGCCCUGCGACCUUUAACCCUAUUGGAAAGUGUUCAACAUUUUGGCCAUGCUGCUAUCUGCAAUUGCCAGGAUGAGAAUGACAGCUCCAAAGGUGAGAAUGAUGGCCCUAUACCAGGAAUGAACUAUGUUCACUCAUGCAAAUGUUUACUUCUCCUUCUCCCAAAAAGAUUGCUUAGCUUUCCUUGAGAUUUUUAUUACUUUGACAUUGUGAUAACUGCUGUAUGUGGUAGAAAUUUGUGGCUUGAACACAGGUACGUGGGGCUACCUUUGAAGGUGACCCGGAAACUACAAUUAAUCCAGAAUGCGGCAGCUAGACUGGUGACUGGGGGCGGCCGCCGAGACCACAUAACACCGGUCUUGAAAAACCUACAUUGGCUCCCAGUACGUUUCCGAGCACAAUUCAAAGUGUUGGUGUUGACCUUUAAAGCCCUAAACGGCCUCGGCCCAGUAUACCUGAAGGAGCGUCUCCACCCCCAUCAUUCUGCCCAGACGCUGAGGUCCAGCGCCGAGGGCCUUCUGGUGGUUCCCUCAUUGCAAGAAGCAAAGCUACAGGGAACCAGGCAGAGGGCCUUCUCGGUAGUGGCGCCCGCCCUGUGGAACGCCCUCAGAUCAGAUGUCAAAGCGAUAAAUAACUACCUGACAUUUAGAAGGCAUCUUAAGGCAGCCCUGUUCAGGGAAGCUUUCAAUCUGUGAUAUUUUACUGUAUUUUUUGUUUCUAUGGAAGCCGCCCAGAGUGGCUGGGGAAACCCAGCCAGAUGGGCGGGGUACAAAUAAUAAAUUAUUAUUAUUAUUAUCAUUAUUAUUAUUACACAGGAGCAUAGCUGUCAACUUUUCCCUUUUUUUACAGGAAAUUCCCUUAUUCCGAACAGGAUUCCUCGCAAGAAAAGGGAAAAGUUGACAGCUAUGCACAGGAGGCUGGCUGCAUUUCGCCCCUACCCCAAUCCUCGCAGAAUUAUUCUACUGUCACGUUGUAUGAUAUUCAUGGCUUCCACCAGGACAUGCACUUAAAAAAUAAUAAUAGCACGAAAGAAUUUACAAAAAGAGGAGCCGCCACCAUCACUCAAUCAAGCAAUAUUUUUAUAUCACUCUAAAGAGAAAUAUAAAGGAAAAGGGGGUCAGAGCCAAACAUCCAAAUCACUUAUUUGUCAGUCAUUGCUGGAUACAGGAAGCAAAUUGACUGCAUAAUUCCCAGCAUAAUUAUCACCCAAGUUCUUAUUUCUUUUAAAUAGUCCUUUCCCUUCACAGGCAUCAAGGCCCAUCCUACAGAAUUAGUCCUAUAAGGCAGUGGUUGGUCAACACUCCCUCAUGCAAGGAAGCAGUAAUCUUGCCCUGGACCCACCUGGUCAACUGGUUUAUUUCACAAGUCACAUCCCCACAAACACCCUGUUCACAUCAUCAGGGUGCAUUUACUGAAACUGAUCUCCAAAAGACAGACAAGAUGCAACACUGGACACCACAGCUCGGACUGCAACAACAGUGGGAACAUCUUAGAAUCAUAGAGUUGGAAGAGACCACAAGGGCCAUCGAGUCCAAGUCUUAAUUGCUGUAGAGUAGAAUGACUUUAGACUCAAUACUUGAUGUAUGUGUGCGACAGGUAGUCUGUGAGAUGGAGUAAGAGAGGUCCAUUUGGACAGAUAGGAAGAGUGUAUCUCUUUGAGUGUAUCUCUGUGAGUGGGGCACAAUGUGUGUAUGGUCUUGUAUGUGAGAGAACUGUUUUGUUGCCUGCAAAAAAUGUUUCUAUUGCAUUAUUUUCAGAUAUGGGGAAAACAGAUAUCAGUUCAUGUGAUGAUGGAAUCUUUCGAGGAGUUGGAGAUGGUGUUUAUAAGUGGCCCAUGUUUCACAAGCGUAUAGUAAGGCUGGUAGUACAAUAGCUUUGUAAAUAAGCAUUUUGGUUUCCCUGCGAAUGUCCCAGUCCUCAAACACUCUGUACUUCAGUCUGGAGAAAGCCGCACUCGCAGAGCUCAGGAGAUACUGUUGGAGAAGAACCCGCCCUUUAGUGAGUUCAACAUCAUCGUCAGCAGCAGCAGAUGACUGAGCUGUGAGCUCGGACUGAAACUACUGUGUAAAGACUAAUAAAUCUAAGCGUAAUUAAACCA